AUUGAACGCUGGCGGCAGGCGUAACACAUGCAAGUCGAAUGGUAACAGGAAACAGCUUGCUGUUUCGCUGACGAGUGGCGGACGGGUGGGUAAUGUCUGGGAAACUGCCUGAUGGAGGGGGAUAACUACUGGAAACGGUAGCUAAUACCGCAUAACGUCGCAAGACCAAAGAGGGGGACCUUCGGGCCUCUUGCCAUCAGAUGUGCCCAGAUGGGAUUAGCUAGUAGGUGGGGUAACGGCUCACCUAGGCGACGAUCCCUAGCUGGUCUGAGAGGAUGACCAGCCACACUGGAACUGAGGCACGGUCCAGACUCCUACGGGAGGCAGCAGUGGGGAAUAUUGCACAAUGGGCGCAAGCCUGAUGCAGCCAUGCCGCGUGUAUGAAGAAGGCCUUCGGGUUGUAAAGUACUUUCAGCGGGGAGGAAGGGAGUAAAGUUAAUACCUUUGCUCAUUGACGUUACCCGCAGAAGAAGCACCGGCUAACUCCGUG
rnacentral:rRNA from 1 species